GCCACAUAAUAAGAAGUGUUGGCUUUUGCUCUGGAAGAUUGCUUGAAUCCAGGAGUUCUGGGCUAUAGUGCACUAUGCUGAUCGGGUGUCCACACUAAGUUUGGCAUCACUAUGGUGACCUCCUGGGAGUGGAGGACCACGAGGUUGCCUAAGGAGGGGUGAACCAGCCCAGAUCGGAAACGGAGCAGGUCGAAACUCCCAUGCUGAUCAGUAGUGGGAUCGAGCCUCUGAAAAGCCACUGCACUCCAGCCGGGGCAACAUAGCAAGACUCUGCCUCUU
rnacentral:SRP_RNA from 2 species